rnacentral:rRNA from 1 species
AACGAACGCUGGCGGCAUGCCUAACACAUGCAAGUCGAACGAGACCUUCGGGUCUAGUGGCGCACGGGUGCGUAACGCGUGGGAACCUGCCCUUAGGUUCGGAAUAACUCCCCGAAAGGGGUGCUAAUACCGGCUAAUGUCUUCGGACCAAAGAUUUAUCGCCUUUGGUUGGGCCCGCGUUGGAUUAGCUAGUUGGUAGGGUAAAAGCCUACCAAGGAGACGAUCCAUAGCUGGUCUGAGAGGAUGAUCAGCCACACUGGAACUGAGACACGGCCCAGACUCCUAAGGGAGGCAGCAGUGGGGAAUAUGGGACAAUGGGCGAAAGCCUGAUCCAGCAAUGCCGCGUGAGUGAUGAAGGCCUUAGGGUUGUAAAGCUCUUUUACCCGGGAUGAUAAUGACAGUACCGGGAGAAUAAGCUCCGGCUAACUCCGUG